AGGCCUUCAUGGGGCAUAUGAUUGCUUGGGAUGUGACCCCAGGAUGGGCGAGGCUACCCGCCG
rnacentral:rRNA from 1 species